GCCGGUUUAGCUCAGCUGGUAGAGCAACUGCCUUGUAAGCAGUAGGUCGUCGGUUCGAUCCCGACAGCCGGCA
rnacentral:tRNA from 1 species